UAGGGAAUCUUCCGCAAUGGGCGAAAGCUUGACGGAGCAACGCCGCGUGAGUGAUGAAGGUCUUCGGAUCGUAAAACUCUGUUAUUAGGGAAGAACAAAUGUGUAAGUAACUAUGCACGUCUUGACGGUACCUAAUCAGAAAGCCACGGUUAACUACGUGCCAGCAGCCGCGGUAAUACGUAGGUGGCAAGCGUUAUCCGGAAUUAUAGGGCGUAAAGCGCGCGUAGGCGGUUUUUUAAGUCUGAUGUGAAAGCCCACGGCUCAACCGUGGAGGGUCAUUGGAAACUGGAAAACUUGAGUGCAGAAGAGGAAAGUGGAAUUCCAUGUGUAGCGGUGAAAUGAGCAGAGAUAUGGAGGAACACCAGUGGCGAAGGCGACUUUCUGGUCUGUAACUGACGCUGAUGUGCGAAAGCGUGGGGAUCAAACAGG
rnacentral:rRNA from 1 species